UGAGACCAUCUCAUGGGAGUGGAAAGACUCACCACAUCAGUGCCCGGUGGAUAAUCCUGGACUUCUAAUCCUGUGACCCGGUUUUAAGACCGAGGCCUAGUUUGUGCUUUCUUACAGGACCAUGAAGGAACGAGUCAUUCCAGUCCUUUUGCUGACAGUGAUGACGGUGACAGGCGUGGAUGUUGAAGAUCUGGAUGAUAAUGUCGUGGCAAAAUGAUGGACAUUAAUAUAUCGCGAGUCCUUGACCUCGCAUGAGAGCAAUGUAACAAUUAUAGUUGGAGGUUCAGAUUGGAC